ensembl:lncRNA
AGGCCCUUCAUAACUCACCUCUUUCUUUCUUCCCUUGCAUUUUGCUUUCUUUCUCUUUCUCUUUCUCUUUCUUCCCCCUUGCCCUCUCUCCUUCUCUCUCUCUCUCUCUCUCUAUGGCUGUUUUUCUGUCUUUCUCUCGCUCUUUCUCUCUUUGUUUUCCUCUCCAUUCUGUUAUUUUUUUUUCUUUUGCAUUUUAGCUUCACUAAGAUUGCCCAUGCAUGAGGCUAACACUGAUAGCAGGAGUGUGUCUGCGGCCAGCCGGCUGCAGGGGUGCAUGCAGAGGUCAGGAGGUCAGCUGGAGGUCGCACGGCCGCCGGAGCAGAGCCGACCGCACGGGCCGCACAGUGAACAGCCUGGCCCGCUCCAAGUACUGCUGACGAAAACCCCCCACCAGCUCUGGGACACCAAUCAGGACGCUGCCCUUGCCCUGCCCUCCCUUUCCCUCCCUCAGUCCCCCUCCUCCACCAAUCAAACGCCAUCUUUCUCUCAGAGCCACGCAUCAGUCACCUCCCUCGCCUCCACACAGCAGUCACCCAAUAGCCGCGCCAUGCCUGGGAGUAAUUGCGAUUGGCCAAGGUCGGCGGAGGAGGCGGGGCCGAGGGAGGACGAGCGCUGGGAGGGCGUCAGGUUGUCUGACAUCCUGCAGGCCUCAGGUGUGUCCGUCCGGCCCCUCCGCAAGCACCUGGCCAUCUCCCUGCCCUCGCUGCCCCUGGACGCCUGGAGCCUGCUGGGGAGGGUGGAGCAGCACAGCCAGGGCGUGACGGGGUCAGACGGCCUCCCUCUCCCUCUACCUCUCCAGCUCCCAGCCUCUGCCCAACCACCAGCGCUACCGCCACCGCCCGCUGCUGCUGCUGCUGCUGCUGCUGCCCACACGCCCAGCCCCGGAGACGUGGAGGAGAAGCGAGGGAGGAGAGAGGAGGUGCAGGGCAGAGAAGGGGAGAACCACCUGCGUCUCCCGCUGUGGCACCCGCUAAGCUCCGCCUCCCAGCGCUCCCCCAGCCUAUCCCGUAUCAGCCCCAGUUCCCCGACCCCAACGAGGCCCACGUGCCAUUGGUCAUCCUGGAGCCUGGACUGCCCCAAUGCUGUAGUGGCGCCAUACAAGACUCCCCCUGACAGCACCUGGGACCCCUGCUCCCCAGCCCAUGAGACCAGCCCUUCAUUAAGUUCCAGGACGCAGGGAGGCACGUCCCGUCCUGAUCCCUGGUCCAGUGCUCCUGACCAGGGGGCAGGGAUGCAUAGUGCCCCUGUCCGAAGAACUUGCUCUGGAGCUGACCUGGAGCCUGUGGAACAGGAGCUUUCUGAGCUGGACUCCCUCUACCAGGCUAGUCUGAUGGCCCAAGGCAGCCCUGCUACAGCUCCCGCUGUUGCUGGAGCCAGAGCAG